UGGCUUCAGUUUCGCUUCAGAGACUGGAUGCCAGGGAGCCCAAAAGCUUUCGUAGAGAUGACGAGCUCCUUAAUUAUUUCUGACGUCACGGAUGAACAACUUGCCCGGUCGGCCGUGAUUGGUUAGCCUGGACUGUGGCUCUUGUCCUAAUUGGGUAGCUAACUUUAGGUUUUGGUUACCUGGAGUCGGAACCCCUCCCAGUUAGGAAGUGAAAGCGAGGGUUGCCAACAGGGAAUAUUUGGCUGGGAUACGGAGGGUCCCACCCUUUUCUUGGCCUUGUUGCCACAAGCUACUGCAGUUCAUGCCAUUGUUCCCCUCCCAUGCCAUGACCUCCCUACUGCUGCUGUUUGACUGAAGGUCUGAGAGCUGUUUGGAAGUACCUGAGAGCUGUUUGGAAGCAACUUCUUUUUCCUGCUGGAAGGGUGAGAUCCAAAUCCUGUUAAGCUACCCUUUCCCCCCUCCCCCCACUUGGGUCUCAAGUCUGCUACUUUGCCAUUUCUAUCCUUGAAAAAGUAGAAAAGGACAUGUCCUGCUAGCCGCUUUUCAUCAGGGGAACACAAUGUGGAGCAGCCAAUACACACUAUCCACCUCAACCCCAGGCUAGCUAACCCAGUGGCUCUUCCAUGCUCCUGGCUGUGGGAAUGGGGACUGAGGUGUCACAGGACCACUGGCUUUACCCCUGGGGAGGGGAAGGGACAGAGCUCUUCUCCCAAAUAUUCCUUGUGAGGUUUUUACUCUUAGCCAUUACAUACUAGGCUAGCUCCACCUAUGAACAGGAAAUAGAUUUACAACCAAUUUAAUAAGUAGGAUUGCAAGCAUAGCCCAGUUUCCUAACUAUAUCUCAAAUAGCUCCCAUUCCUGGAGAGCAUUACUGAGCUCACACAGCUCAAAGUUUUAGGAUGUCUUUUCUUGCUGCAGUUCCUGGGAGUUCUUGUAUUGAUAGGAUAUCUUGCAGUUGAUAGCUUGAGUAAUCUCGAGAUUCAGAGGAGAGAUUCAUCUUCCUACCAUUUUGGCUGCCCAGUCUUUGCAACAUAUCCAAUAUGGGGUUCUUCUUCCACACUAUGCUCAGUGUGGGUAUGGGGAACCCCAGAAUAUGACCAAAGGAAUCUAGAUGAAUGAUGAUACUCAGGAGGGGAAGGAUCAUUAAAGAGUCUCGAGGUGAAUUUUAAGCCUUUUCUGACUCCCUUGUGUUAUUGAUGUAAACUGUUUCAAUUUGUUCCCCUCCAAAUAGUGAAGAAGUCUCUAUAAUGCAGCUAUUGGAAUUGGAGAAAAGGACUCUUGAAUUCAUUGCUCACAUCCUGUCACAUAUAUUCUAUUUGUUAAUUGUUUUAAGAUUUAAUUUUGUUCUUGAGUUUACAUAUUAAUCUAAUCUAAAAUAGUCUAUUACACUAUGUCACUUUAAGUUAUUGUGUUUUGGCUAUUAGCUAUGUGUUCUGUUACACUGUUUUUAUUUGUACUGUUCUACUAUCUUUAUUUAUACUGUUCUAUGCCUAGACUGGAGAUAAUACCAUUGUAAAAACCUAUAGUCUAGUUGGGGAAACCCUUUCUGUGACUUAAGGACUCACAAGUCCUUAAAUAUACUGGGUUUGUCACCAGAUCUAUUGAGGUCACAUAUUAACUAUGCAACCUUUUAUAUCUUUUUGCCUUUGUUAAUUGUCACAUAGAUGAUGAUGAAUGUACUCCAUCAAAUUGGUUACAACCUGUAUCAGUAACUUUUGGAGAAUUUUAUGAUUUCUUAUGGUUUGGGGGAUUUGGGUACUUCUUUGAAUGUGAUUUAGCUGUUGUACUACUGUGUUUUGUUUUGUUUUUAUAAAGCUUGUUAAAAAAUCAUGUACACUCACACUGUGGAUCAUGGCCAAGUUUAAGAAGGAAAUAAUCUCAUUUUUGAGUGAGAAAUCUUUGUGUUGUGCCUCUGCUUGGCUAACACAGUGUCUCAUGGAAUGUGCACUAUGAAUUUUAAAAAAUUUAUUAUUGUUUUUCCUUUCAUGUGCAAUAGGAUAUUUGAAUUUUCUUUCCUCUUAUUUUUUUGUACUUAUAGUUUUAGCAGUCAGUAUUAAUGUUUUUUUUUUAUUUUGCACUAAUAUAAGUUUAUAAUAUUCAUUAGCCCUAAUAUUAAUGCAAACCCAAAAGCUUUAGACUAUGGAAACCUGACAUUGAUUGUUUAAUAUGGGACUUUGACGAAUAGUUGUGUCUGAUUUCAGAAGAAGGGAUUACAAAAGAACUGUUAUACAGUGCCAAGAAGCACAAGAUCAAGAUCAACCAAUACUGAUGGUAUUGAUGAGAAUCUGCACCAAGACAGAAGAUUUGUUUUGGGGUUCAAGGAAGUGACUGUUUGACAAUGUCAGAUGCAGGAUUUCCCCAUGCCAGAUUCAGACAAAGUACCUCAGUUUGGCUGCCAUUUUGACUCCCCCAAUCUUGUGAGUGAAGGUAAAAUCAGACCCAGGAAUGCUAUUUCCCUUUUUUCCUUCAAAGUCUAGUCCCUUUUCUCUCUUUCAUAGUGUGGUAAUUUUCUAUAGUCUUGGCUGCUGAUUGGGUGGUCCUACAGGCUUGUAGAACAUAAAUCAUUUUAUUGGGCCCCAAUUCUAGGACCUGUUAUGGGCUUACUCAGAAUCUUUAUAUACAAUUUGAUUUUGAUUUUUUCCCCUUUUCUUUUAUUUGAGUUUUUUUUAAUGUUUUUUAUUUUCUUUUGUCAAUUGGUCCAUAUACCUCAUAAAUCAGCCCUGUGUUGGUCAACACCAUUCUCAGGGGGCAUUGUAUUAUUAUCCUAUUGUUUGAGAGUAAUUUUAGGAUAAGAAACUUGCUACCUCCCCAAAUCAAGAAAGUGAACUGUUUGGAGAAAGUGCCAUAAAGAAGCCUGUAGAAACCAUGCACUGCACCAAAAGAUCCAGAGUGAACUUUGGGAUGUAAUGGAUUUGAACUGUGAGGGGUUGAAUGCUUUUAUUUUGAAUGUACACUCAUAUGCCAAAAGGGACUGCCCCCAAUUGGCUUUUUGUCAAUGUGCCUAGCAAUCAUUAGUUAUGUUCUCUUUCUCUUUUACUUCCCUAUUAUCCUCAAAUUAUUGUAAUUUCCCCUUAGAAAAUGCAAUAUUGUAUAUACCUCUAGUUAAAGAUCUUUAGAGAUAUAAGGUUAUGUGUAAUGAUUCAUUGGGGAAAGUAGGCAUGUAAAUCUUAGAGAUUUCUACAUGCUUAUUUUCCAAUGGAAUCACGGGGAGGGGUUAUAAUUAGAAUUUUGCACCCCAGGACUCUAAAUCUCAGCAUCCCAUCUAUGUGUUUACCUAUGUCCUUAUGUAGGGAGAAUAUAUUUUGACGUAGCUCCUCCUGCUCUCUACUUCCCUGAUUGUGACUAGGAAAGUUGGGCAAGAAAAUUUUUCUCACAUGGCUUUACUUAGGCUUUUACUUUUGUUCUUGUACUUUUUCUACUAUCAAGUGAUUAUUAAUAAACUUUAAAAAUAUAAUACUUGGAGUUAUUGGAUAUUAAUUUUAAUCUUAUAGGGGAGAGAGUAGAGUUGUGGUAUGAUUAAAAUAUCUCAAUAUACUGCUUUUUGGGUAAGAAUAUAAGUUUAUUGAUUACAUCAGGUUUAUUGAUUAGGCCAGCAUCUUAACUGAUAAAGUGAUAUAGGUCUAUAGCUCCCUUCCCAACUAAAGAUGACCUGGAUUGUAUCAGGCAGCCUGAUAAAUAGAUUUUUAGGAGCUCAUUUUUCAGUGCCAACCUUGGACAUCCCAAUACAUUUUUAAUUGGUGAUAAUUAAUUAAGGGGUGGUCCAUCAGACCCUCAGCCCUUUCCCAACUGACAGGUGAAAUUUUGUGUGUACACCAGAAAAACCCUCCUCCCCUUCAUUUUUAAAAAACAAAAUGCCAUUAAAAAGGAAGACAUUCUUUGGAAUUUCCAAGGGCAAAGAAAAUGCAAAAAGUAGUAGUUUAGAUGAUAUUUCUGAUCCAGAUGCCAGACAUUGGAAUAUGCAUUGGUUCUUCCUAAAACAUAUAUAGGAUAAAGUAUAUGAAAAACAAAUUCUCACAGUAGAAAAGGCUCUGUGCCCCCUUCCCCCCAAGCUUAGUUCUAUAAUGAUAUGGGAAAUUUCCUCCUUCUUUAAAUUGAAUAGAAACAUUUUGAGGUAUAAGUAAUUGGCAAAAUCUUUGAAGAAUCCUUUAAAAAAGCAAUUUCUAAGUUUAAAAAGAAUUAUAUACCCUUUUCUGUCAAAAAAUGUCUGAACACAUGCCAUCAAUAUAUAUGUGUUUAAUUAUUAUAAAG